GGCUGCAAACGUGCCUCUCGGUGUUUGGAGAGAACACACCAUUAAGUUUUCGCCUUCUUGGUUUGUGGCGGUCCAUGCUGCUGUGCCUUUCAUAGCCAUGCUCAGGAAAUCUGUGCUGAUGCCUAAAGCAGCCAUGGCUUUGACCAUUGGAGCGUCCAUCUUGGGACAGGUGAUUGGGUCAAGAGCUGAACGUUACCGUCUCAAAGCGUUGGCUGCUAAUACAGUUGCUGAAACAUCCACUGUUACCGCGGGUGAUGGAUACAAUGAGGUCUCUGAUGGUUCAGGCUUUGCUAAAGGACAUUGUGGUGCAGAAGGAGUGAAGCAGGUUUAUUACAAUGCGAAUGUUGGAGAAUCUGCUAAAUCAACUGGGC
rnacentral:lncRNA from 1 species